rnacentral:rRNA from 1 species
ACGGGAGGCAGCAGCUAAGAAUAUUGAGAAAUGGAAGAAAGUUUGACGGAGCGACGCCGCGUGGAUGAUGAAGGUCGGAAGAUUGUAAAAUCCUUUUAUGACUGAGGAAUAAGUAGGGUGAGAGAAACGCCUUAUGGUGACUGUAGGUCAUGAAUAAGCAACGGCUAACUACGUGCCAGCAGCCGCGGUAACACGUAAGUUGCGAGCGUUGUUCGGAAUUAUUGGGCGUAAAGGGCAUGUAGGCGGUUUUGCAAGCUUGGUGUGAAAUCUCGGAGCUCAACUCCGAAAUUGCGUUGGGAACUGCGUGACUAGAGUCACUGAGGGGCAAUCAGAAUUCCAGGUGUAGGGGUGAAAUCUGUAGAUAUCUGGAAGAAUACCAAUGGCGAAGGCAGGUUACCAGCAGAUGACUGACGCUGAGGUGCGAAGGUGCGGGGAGCAAACAGGAUUAGAUACCCUGGUA